rnacentral:rRNA from 1 species
AUUGAACGCUGGUGGCAGGCCUAACACAUGCAAGUCGAGCGAGCGGCCGACGGGUGAGUAAUGUAUGGGGCCUGCCCGAUAGAGGGGGAUAACUACUGGAAACGGUGGCUAAUACAGCCUACUAUCGGAUAACCCAUCUGGGAUUAGCUCGUAGGUGGGGUAAAGGCUACCCUAGGCGACGAUGUAGAGCUGGUCUUAGAGGCUGAUUCGCCACAUGAUGAAUGAGACACGGCCCAGGCUCUGCCGGAGGCAUCAGUGGGGAAUAGUGCACAAUGGUCUCAAGCCUGAUACAGCCAUGCCGCGUGUAUGAAGAAGGCCUUAGGGUGGUAAAGUACUUUCAGCGGUGAGGCGUUACCCGCAGAAGAAGCACCGGCUAACUCCGUGCCAGCAGCCGCGGUAAUAC